AUUGCCCUAGUAACGGCGAGUGAAGCGGCAACAGCUCAAAUUUGAAAUCUGGCGUCUUUGGCGUCCGAGUUGUAAUUUGCAGAGGGCGCUUUGGCAUUGGCAGCGGUCCAAGUUCCUUGGAACAGGACGUCACAGAGGGUGAGAAUCCCGUACGUGGUCGCUAGCCUUUACCGUGUAAAGCCCCUUCGACGAGUCGAGUUGUUUGGGAAUGCAGCUCUAAAUGGGAGGUAAAUUUCUUCUAAAGCUAAAUACUGGCCAGAGACCGAUAGCGCACAAGUAGAGUGAUCGAAAGAUGAAAAGCACUUUGGAAAGAGAGUUAAAAAGCACGUGAAAUUGUUGAAAGGGAAGCGCUUGCAGCCAGACUUGCCUGUAGUUGCUCAUCCAGGUUUCUACCUGGUGCACUCUUCUAUAGGCAGGCCAGCAUCAGUUUGGGCGGUUGGAUAAAGGUCUCUGUCAUGUACCUCUCUUCGGGGAGAACUUAUAGGGGAGACGACAUGCAACCAGCCUGGACUGAGGUCCGCGCAUCUGCUAGGAUGCUGGCGUAAUGGCUGUAAGCGGCCCGUCUUGAAACACGGACCAAGGAGUCUAACAUCUAUGCGAGUGUUUGGGUGUCAAGCCCGAGCGCGUAAUGAAAGUGAACGGAGGUGGGAACCUUUCGGGGUGCACCAUCGACCGAUCCUGAUGUCUUCGGAUGGAUUUGAGUAAGAGCAUAGCUGUUGGGACCCGAAAGAUGGUGAACUAUGCUUGAAUAGGGUGAAGCCAGAGGAAACUCUGGUGGAGGCUCGCAGCGGUUCUGACGUGCAAAUCGAUCGUCAAAUUUGGGCAUAGGGGCGAAAGACUAAUCGGA
rnacentral:rRNA from 1 species